AGGAGUGUAGCUCAGUUGGUAGAGCAUCGGUCUCCAAAACCGAGGGCCGGGGGUUCGAGCCCCUCCACUCCUG
rnacentral:tRNA from 1 species